AUACGGAGGGUGCAAGCGUUACUCGGAAUCACUGGGCGUAAAGUGCGCGCAGGCGGUCUUUUAAGUUGGAUGUGAAAGCCUACGGCUCAACCGUAGAACUGCAUCCAAAACUAUUAGACUAGAGUGUGGGAGAGGAAGAUGGAAUUAGUUAUGUAGGGGUAAAAUCCGUAGAGAUAACUAGGAAUACCAAAAGCGAAGGCAAUCUUCUGGAACACUACUGACGCUGAGGCGCGAAAGCGUGGGGAGCAAACAGGAUUAGAUACCCUAGUAGUCC
rnacentral:rRNA from 1 species